rnacentral:rRNA from 1 species
ACUUUAGUCCUAUUUUCGUUGGUUUAGGUACUUCAGUAAUGAUGAAUAGAAACGGUUAGGGGCAUUUGUAUUUGGUCGCUAGAGGUGAAAUUCUUGGAUUGA